GAUGAACGCUGGCGGCGUGCCUAAUACAUGCAAGUCGAGCGAACGGACGAGAAGCUUGCUUUUCUGAUGUUAGCGGCGGACGGGUGAGUAACACGUGGAUAACCUACCUAUAAGACUGGGAUAACUUCGGGAAACCGGAGCUAAUACCGGAUAAUAUUUUGAACCGCAUGGUUCAAAAGUGAAAGACGGUCUUGCUGUCACUUAUAGAUGGAUCCGCGCUGCAUUAGCUAGUUGGUAAGGUAACGGCUUACCAAGGCAACGAUGCAUAGCCGACCUGAGAGGGUGAUCGGCCACACUGGAACUGAGACACGGUCCAGACUCCUACGGGAGGCAGCAGUAGGGAAUCUUCCGCAAAGGGCGAAAGCCUGACGGAGCAACGCCGCGUGAGUGAUGAAGGUCUUCGGAUCGUAAAACUCUGUUAUUAGGGAAGAACAAAUGUGUAAGUAACUAUGCACGUCUUGACGGUACCUAAUCAGAAAGCCACGGCUAACUACGUG
rnacentral:rRNA from 1 species